CCUACGGGAGGCAGCAGUAGGGAAUUUUCGUCAAUGGGCGCAAGCCUGAACGAGCAAUGCCGCGUGAACGAGGAAGGUCUUCGGAUCGUAAAGUUCCGUUGAAGGGGAAAAAGAGCGGAGAGAGGAAAUGCUUUCUGAUUGAUCUUACCCUUCGAGGAAGUCACGUCUAACUACGUGCCAGCAGCGGCGGUAAUACGUAGGUGGCGAGCGUUAUACGGAAUGAUUGGGCGUAAAGGGUGCGUAGGCGGUCUGCUAAGUCUGGAGUGAAAGGUACCGGCCCAACCGGUACAGGGUAUGGGAACUGGCGGGGUAGGGGGGAGGAGGGGGCGGUGGGACUCCGUGGGUAACGGGAGAAAGCGU
rnacentral:rRNA from 1 species